rnacentral:rRNA from 1 species
UACGGGGGGGGCAAGCGUUGUUCGGAAUUACUGGGCGUAAAGGGGUCGUAGGUGGCCAACUAAGUCAUACGUGAAAUCCCUCAGCUUAACUGGGGAACUGCGUCUGAUACUGGUUGGCUUGAGUGCAGGAGAGGAACGCGGAAUUCCAGGUGUAGCGGUGAAAUGCGUAGAUAUGUGGAGGAACACCGAUGGCGAAGGCAGCCCCCUGGGAUAACACUGACGCUCAUGCACGAAAGCGUGGGGAGCAAACAGG